GGCCCUUUGGUCAAGAGGUUAAGACACCGCCCUUUCACGGCGGUAACAUGGGUUCGAAUCCCGUACGGGUCACCA
rnacentral:tRNA from 1 species